CAAGGCUAAAACUCAAAGGAAUUGACGGGGGGCCCGCACAAGCGGCGGAGCAUGCGGAUUAAUUCGAUGCAACGCGAAGAACCUUACCAAGGCUUGACAUGUUCCUGACCGCCGUAGAGAUACGGUUUCCCCUUUGGGGCAGGUUCACAGGUGGUGCAUGGUUGUCGUCAGCUCGUGUCGUGAGAUGUUGGGUUAAGUCCCGCAACGAGCGCAACCCUCGUUCCAUGUUGCCAGCACGUAGUGGUGGGGACUCAUGGGAGACUGCCGGGGUCAACUCGGAGGAAGGUGGGGACGACGUCAAAUCAUCAUGCCCCUUAUGUCUUGGGCUUCACGCAUGCUACAAUGGCCGGUACAAUGGGUUGCGAUACUGUGAGGUGGAGCUAAUCCCAAAAAGCCGGUCUCAGUUCGGAUUGGGGUCUGCAACUCGACCCCAUGAAGUCGGAGUCGCUAGUAAUCGCAGAUCAGCAACGCUGCGGUGAAUACGUUCCCGGGCCUUGUACACACCGCCCGUCAAGUCACGAAAGUUGGUAACACCCGAAGCCGGUGGCCUAACCCUUGUGGGGGGAGCCGUCGAAGGUGGGACUGGCGAUGGA
rnacentral:rRNA from 1 species